UGUGUUAUACGUGUCACACGAUACUGCCGGUAUCAAGCCGGAGGAAGGUGGGGAGUGAUGUCAAGUCAGCAUGGCCUUUAUAUCCUGGGCUACACACACGCUACAAUGGCAGAUACAAUAGGUCGCGAAACCGCGAGGUGGAGCCAAUCCUCAAAGUCUGUCUCAGUUCAGAUUGUAGGCUGCAACUCGCCUGCAUGAAGUCGGAGUUGCUAGUAAACGCAGGUCAGCUAUACUGCGUUGAAUACGUUCCCGGGGUUU
rnacentral:rRNA from 1 species